rnacentral:snRNA from 1 species
AGCUUUGCGCAGUGGCAGUAUCGUAGCCAAUGAGGUUUAUCUGAGGUGCGACUAUUGCUAAUUAAGUAAAGCAUGAACCAACAGUGCGUAGUUUGAGAAAACACAUGAUGAG